CCUACGGGAGGCAGCAGUGAGGAAUAUUGGUCCAUGGACGAGAGUCUGAACCAGCCAAGUAGCGUGAAGGCUGACUGCCCUAUGGGUUGUAAACUUCUUUUAUAUGGGAAUAAAAUGUUCCACGUGUGGGUUUUUGUAUGUACCAUCUGAAUAAGGAUCGGCUAACUCCGUGCCAGCAGCCGCUGUAAUACGGAGGAUCCGAGCGUUAUCCGGUUUUAUUGGGUUUAACGGGAGCGUAGGUGGAUUGUUAAGUCAGUGGUGAAAGUUUGCGGCUCAACCGUAAAACUGCAGUUGAAACUGGCAGUCUUGAGUACAGUAGAGGUGGGCGGAAUGCGUGGUGUAGCAGUGAAAUGCUUAGAUAUCACGAAGAACUCCGAUUGCGAAGGCAGUUCACUGGACUGCAACUGACACUGAGGCUCGAAAGUGUGGGUAUCAAACAGGAUUAGAUACCCUGGUAGUC
rnacentral:rRNA from 1 species